UACGUAGGGGGCAAGCGUUGUCCGGAAUCAUUGGGCGUAAAGAGCGUGUAGGCGGCCCGAUAAGUCCGCCGUGAAAGUCCAGGGCUCAACCCUGGAAUGCCGGUGGAAACUGUCGGGCUGGAGUCCGGAAGAGGCGAGUGGAAUUCCCGGUGUAGCGGUGAAAUGCGCAGAUAUCGGGAAGAACACCCGUGGCGAAGGCGGUUCUCUGGGCCGUAACUGACGCUGAGGAGCGAAAGCGUGGGGAGCGAACAGG
rnacentral:rRNA from 1 species